AUUGAACGCUGGCGGCAUGCCUUACACAUGCAAGUCGAACGGCAGCACGGGAGCUUGCUCCUGGUGGCGAGUGGCGAACGGGUGGGUAAUACAUCGGAACGUACCCAGGAGUGGGGGAUAACGUAGCGAAAGUUACGCUAAUACCGCAUAUUCUGUGAGCAGGAAAGCGGGGGAUCGCAAGACCUCGCGCUCUUGGAGCGGCCGAUGUCGGAUUAGCUAGUUGGUGAGGGAAAAGCUCACCAAGGCGACGAUCCGUAGCAGGUCUGGGAGGAUGAUCUGCCUCACUGGGACUGAGACACGGCCCAGACUCCUACGGGAGGCAGCAGUGGGGAAUUUUGGGCAAUGGGGGCAACCCUGAUCCAGCCAUGCCGCGUGAGUGAAGAAGGCCUUCGGGUUGUAAAGCUCUUUCGGCGGGGAAGAAAUGGCAACGGCUAAUAUCCGUUGUUGAUGACGGUACCCGCAUAAGAAGCACCGGCUAACUACGUGCCAGCCGCCGCCGUAACAC
rnacentral:rRNA from 1 species